rnacentral:lncRNA from 1 species
GGGGAGUGGAUGUAGGUGCAAGGUUAGCACCGAACCACUAUAAAUCCUUGUGUUUAUGGUGUGCUUUAUCGCUUUAUCUUAUUUCUUUAUUAUAUCCUUGCAAUCCUGCUUUAGGUAAUUAAUAUUGAAUUAAAGUCUUUGUUUUGAUCUUCAUAAGUAAUCUGUUGGGCUUAAAAUUUUUUAGAAAUCCAAUUCACCCCCCCUCUUGGGUUGCAUAGCUGGGCAACA